rnacentral:rRNA from 1 species
GACGAACGCUGGCGGCGUGCUUAACACAUGCAAGUCGAACGAAGUGGCGAACGGGUGAGUAACGCGUAAUCAACCUGCCCUUCAGAGGGGGACACCAGUUGGAAACGACUGUUAAUACCGCAUACUGAAGGAGGGGCUUGCGUCUGAUUAGCUAGUUGGUGGGGUAACAGCCCACCAAGGCGAUGAUCAGUAGCCGGACUGAGAGGAUGAACGGCCACAUUUGGAAGUGGACACGGGCCAGACUCCUAAGGGAGGCAGCAGUGGGGAAGCGUCCGCAAUGGACGAAAGUCUGACGGAGCAACGCCGCGUGAGUGAUGACGGCCUUCGGGUUGUAAAGCUCUGUUAGUCGGGACGCGGUACCGGAAUAGAAAGCCACGGCCAACUACGUGCCAGCAGCCGCGGUAAUUC